rnacentral:rRNA from 1 species
CCUACGGGCGGCUGCAGUAGGGAAUAUUGCACAAUGGGCGCAAGCCUGAUGCAGCCAUGCCGCGUGUGUGAAGAAGGCCUUCGGGUUGUAAAGCACUUUCAGCGGGGAGGAAGGCGUUAAGGUUAAUAACCUUGUCGAUUGACGUUACCCGCAGAAGAAGCACCGGCUAACUCCGUGCCAGCAGCCGCGGUAAUACGGAGGGUGCAAGCGUUAAUCGGAAUUACUGGGCGUAAAGCGCACGCAGGCGGUCUGUCAAGUCGGAUGUGAAAUCCCCGGGCUCAACCUGGGAACUGCAUUCGAAACUGGCAGGCUAGAGUCUUGUAGAGGGGGGUAGAAUUCCAGGUGUAGCGGUGAAAUGCGUAGAGAUCUGGAGGAAUACCGGUGGCGAAGGCGGCCCCCUGGACAAAGACUGACGCUCAGGUGCGAAAGCGUGGGGAGCAAACAGGAUUAGAUACCCCGGUAGUC